rnacentral:rRNA from 1 species
UGGGGAAUGCCUAGGCUCUCAGAGACGAUGAAGGACGUGAUAAGCUGCGAUAAGCUACGGGGAUUAGCACAUAUGAAUUGAUCCGUAGAUUUCCGAAUGGGACAACCCGGCUAGUUGAAGACUAGUCACACCUUCGGGUGAGUUAACCCAGGGAACUGAAACAUCUAAGUACCUGCAGGAAGAGAAAACAAUAGUGAUUCCGUUAGUAGUGGCGAGCGAACGCGGAUUAGCCCAAACCAGUACCGUUACGGCGAUGCUGGGGUUGUAGGACUGUUAAGUGUGUAUAAAAAUGAACUGGAAUCCUUUGGAAAGAGGAAUCGUAGAGGGUGAUAAUCCCGUACAGGUAAGUUUUUAUACCGGGACAGUAUCCUGAGUAGGGCGGAGCAGGUGAAACUCCGUUUGAAUCUGCCGGCACCAUCCGGUAAGGCUAAAUACUCCUG